rfam:Altererythrobacter marensis strain KCTC 22370, complete genome.
CCAGGGGGCCGGGCAGCCGCGGGUGUGCGAACAUCCGAGGAAAGUCCGGGCUCCACGAAACAGGGGUGGCGGGUAACGCCCGCCGGGCCGGUGCGAGCCGGUUCAGGGAAAGUGCCACAGAGAGAAAACCGCCGACGGCCCGGGAACGGGCCGGGCAAGGGUGAAAGGGUGCGGUAAGAGCGCACCGGGAUGCCGGCAACGGUAUCCGCUUGGCAAACCCCACCCGGAGCAAGGCCGAAUAGGGGCGGCGCGUCCUCGCAAGGGGGCAGGGGUGUUUCGCCCCGACCGCCCGGGUUGGCUGCUCGAGCGGCGGAGCAAUCCGUCGCCAAGAUGAAUGGCUGCCCUCGCGGGGCCGGUCUCUCCCAAGGAAACGAGGGCGGGAUACCGCCCGCGAGACAGAACCCGGCUUACAGGCCCCCUGGCAAU